UGUGGGAGGAAGCCCUUCGGGGUGUAAACCACUGUCAGGAGGGACGAAAGAGCUCAUGGUGAAUAAUCAUGGGCAGUGACGGUACCUUCAAAGGAAGCACCGGCUAACUCUGUGCCAGCAGCCGCGGUAAUACAGAGGGUGCGAGCGUUGUUCGGAAUUACUGGGCGUAAAGCGCGCGCAGGCGGGUCCUGUAAGUCGGAAGUGAAAUUUCGGAGCUCAACUCCGAAGCUGCUUCUGAUACUGCGGAUCUAGGGACUGGUAGAGGCUGGUAGAAUUACAGGUGUAGCGGUGGAAUGCGUAGAUAUCUGUAAGAAUACCCGUGGCGAAGGCGGCCAGCUGGGCCAGGUCCGACGCUGAGGCGCGAAAGCGUGGGGAGCAAACAGGAUUAGAUACCCUGGUAGUCCACGCCGUAAACGAUGGGCACUAGGUGGCCGGGGGGAGCCGACCCCUUCGGUGCCGCAGCUAACGCGAUAAGUCGCCCCGCCGUGGGGAGUACCGGCCGCAAGGCUAG
rnacentral:rRNA from 1 species